rnacentral:lncRNA from 1 species
GACGUAGGCUGUGCACAUCCCUUUGUCCUUGGACCUGCUAGUGCCCCAAAGCUCAGGGGUCCUCACUCAGCCAUAGCCUUAUGCCAGAGGAGGGUGGGGGCAUGGAGAGGGCAUCAGCAUCUCCUGAGUCUCUCAAAGCGGAGGGCAGGUGUCCUUGCGCCCCCCGGGGAGGGGGGUGCCUUUAUACACCCCUUAGAAAGGGGGUCCGAGCCCCUCAUACAACUGGUAUCCAGAGUGUUCCCAGAAAAGGUGUAAAGGAACUGUCCCAAGGCCACACCAGUAACAAAUGGUAGAGGCAGCGGUACAGUGCAGGCACCUUUUGAUCCCUCCACGUCUCCACCCACAAGCUCACCUGCAGGCAGCGGACACAAGUGCUUCAUUCUUAAGUGUGUGCAUGCGCACGCGCGCGCACACACACACACACACACACACACGCAUACAUACACAUACACAGAGGAUAUCUGACCCUGCCUCUUCGAUUCAGCUCAGGGCCCCCUCCCUCCUGAGCAGGGCUGCCCAAGCCUCUGCACCAGCAGGUGCACAGCUCAGCCCCCUAUGCAGCUUGGCUGUGUCUGCCUCUGUUUUUUCCCGAGUUUUUUUUCCCUUCCCUUUAUGCAUGCAUGCUGAUGGAAACAGCUCCUUCCCCCAGGCCUGCCUCUGAUAAGGUUCCCUCAGUUUCCAGCAAGUGGAGCUGAGCCUCUUAUCAGGCAGCAGCAGGGGAUCUGCACCACCACCCCCCAUCUGCACCGGGCAGGCUGGUGCUGAUAAAGCGGGCCUGGGCCCAGCACUCACCAGCUGCUUCUCAGCUUGUCCCCAGGGGGGACACAGAAGCAGGCAGUGGGAGCCAGGAAGUCUCUUCCCUUUCUUAGACACCAGAACUGAGUUCCAGUGACCACAGUCACCUGAUGGGGAGCAAGUUGGGGACAGAGGUCUGGCCAGGAUGCUGCAGGAGGAAUUACUCCUUAGGGCCUGAACAUGGCAGUGGGAGUUGGCUCCUCUUGGGGCCUAUCAGGAUCAGCCUUUGGUGUGAGUCCUCUUAGAAUUCCCUAUGGGGCAAGCACUGUUGUUCUGAUUCCUGGGUAAGAUGCUGAGCCCAGCAGACAAUUUGAAGGCAUUUGGCCUCAUAGGGCAGAUGGGAUGAGGUUUGCAGCAGGCUUGCCAGCCCCCAAAGCUCAGACUGCCCCCACCCCAGUCCUGGGGGCUCUGAUUUGAAGGAGAUCAAAGUCCUCACCCCCACCCCACCCCAACACACACCCCAUUUGAAGAUAGAAAUUCUACCUUCAAAUGUUAACUUCUUUUCCUUUAAGUUUGGGUCACUGGUAAAUGUCCUCUCUUUAGGGUAGGACAGACUGGGUUAGCUGACUAUUUUGUGAAAAGUGACUUGGCCUCUCUGACUUUAGUUGUCCUGCCUAUUAUAUGGACUGUGUGCCAUGCCCUGCCAGGAGCACCCAGGAUUCCACAGCUGGAGGGCACCUCCCACCAGUGGCCGCCACUGCUUCCAUCAGUGGAGGCAGGGCCAGGGGCUGGCAGCAGGUCCAGCCAUAGACCCUCAUCUGGGUUUGAAUCCUGGCUCUGUCCUUGGCAACUGAGCUCUAGCCUUUUUAUGUUUACACCAGGGGUAGAAAUACCAGCUGCAGAGUUGUUGGGGAGUUCAGCUAAUGAGAAGUACUCGCCGCCUGUGACAGGCCCAGCAGAGGGAGUUUGGGGUGAGAAGUAUCUUGAGUGUGAGGUGAAGUGAGUGAGGUCCUAGCACAGAGCAGACCCAGGGAAGACCUCCAGCUGCCCUGUGCACAUGGAUGCACAGGAGGAUGGAGGACACUCCAAGACCAAGCUUCCAUACAGGGCAGGGUAGGCAGGGCCACCUGGCACCCUGGGCCGGUAAACAGAGCCUUCCCUGGAAGGUGCACCCCCCCCCUGCCCUGAGGGCCCCAUGGGAGGGGCUCAGAGUGGUGCACCAAGGCAGCCCUGUCAGAGCAAACCUCAAGGAAAGGAUCGGUGACACUGCCAAGAGGAUAAGCAGCUAAUGCAGAGCCACACAAGUGGUCUGCCCUGAGAUGGACACUGAGCUGGAGGUGUGAGGUUACAGCUGAAAUACCAAGCAACCAGCCUCCCCAGACACCAAGGCUGGGGAAUGUUAAGGGUGGGAGAAAGGGCAGGUGGGGGCAGGGCAGGAGGGCUGCCCAUGAGCUGGGGUCUGGGGAAGGAGCAGGGAGGGGUCCUCAGGUCUUUCCCCUGGAAUCAGUUAAAGCAUCAUUUGUGGUCAUGGGAGGCAGAGGCCUAACGUGUGUCAAGUUCUCUGCAGCCAAGAGGUCAACACAGAUGGCCUCUUGCCCAGCACACAGCAGGUGCUCAGUGGACUGGUUCAGCCAGUACUGCAAACUCCUGCUUUCUUAACUUGCUGUGUGGGUGUUUCUCCUGCUGCAUGUCACCAGGCUGCCAGGAGGAGCUUUGUGUGAUAACCUUCCCUGUGCCGUUCACCCUGAAAAUUGCUGGACACCCAUGGGAAGAUGCCAUAGCCUCCCCUAUACCCCAGAGUCAUUUUGCUGUGCUUGCUGGGUCUGCUGUAGAAACAGGAAGUCACUUCCUCCUAGAAGGUCAGCACAGGUGCCUCCUAUGGGGGGUUGGGUUUGAACCAGUGAGGGUUCUUGUAUGGAUACAUGCUGGAGGGGCAGUGGAAGGACCAUUCAGAGGAGAGGGCACAGCAUGAGCCGGAACCUGGGAACAUAAAAUAGAAUCAGAGUCCAUGUGACUUUGUGGACACUUGCAUGGGACAGGCGGGAUGUGGACACUGAGAUGACAAUGGGGGAUUCUUGUACCUGUGGCUCUGGUUCUCCUCAGGGGAACCCCCUUUAGAAAGUCACAGAGUUUCUGGUGAAUUGACAGAGAACCAGGCAGUCUAUGAAGCUGGCAUGUGAUAUGGGGGAUGUACUUAUGCUAAAAAUCACGUGGUUAUUUAUCCAAAAGUCACACCUUGCAUUAUCUGACAACCAUAGGAGCAUGGGACCUAGACCUGGGUGUUUUUAAAGGGUCUGAUAUACAGAGCUGAGAACCAUGAGCAAGAGGCUUGCACUGCUGUGAGCAAGCCCAUUGUCUCGUGUCCCAGGCCCGGUCCCCAAGGGCAAAGACUUCUGAGUAGAUGGAGCAUUCCCAGUCUUAGAAACUUCUCCUGGGAAGCUUUUGAGAUCUCCUUCUUACUCAUCCUUUCCAUCUGUCUCAUAGAUGCCUCUCACAGUGAUUAAAAACCUAUUUUUUAUGUAAAUUGGAAAGUCUACAAUCCAUCUUAAUUUUUUAAUACUUUAAACAAUGUAGGAGUUCCUGUUGUGGCUCAGCAGAUUAAGAAUCAGACAUAGUGUCUGUGAAGAUGUGGGUUCAAUCUCUGGCUGCUCAGUGGGUUAAGAGUCUGGCAUUACUGCAAGCUGAGGCAUAGGUCACAAAUACGACCUGGAUCUGGUGUUGCUGUGGCUGCGGCAUAGGUCAGCAGCUGCAGUUCCAAUUCGGCCCUAGCCUGGGAACUUCCAUAUGCCACAGGUGCAUU